rnacentral:rRNA from 1 species
UCGGGGCUCUUUGGUGAUUCAUGAUAACUAUACGANUCGCACGGCCUUGCGCNGGCGAUGGUUCAUUCAAAUUUCUNCCCUAUCAACUUUCGAUGUUUGGGUAUUGGCCAAACAUGGUUGCAACGGGUAACGGAGGGUUAGGGCUCGACCCCGGAGAAGGAGCCUGAGAAACGGCUACUACAUCCAAGGAAGGCAGCAGGCGCGCAAAUUACCCAAUCCCGACUCGGGGAGGUAGUGACAAUAAAUACUGAUACAGGGUCCUUUCGGGCCUUGUAAUUGGAAUGAGUACAAUUUAAAUCCCUUAACGAGGAACAAUUGGAGGGCAAGUCUGGUGCCAGCAGCCGCGGUAAUUCCAGCUCCAAUAGCGUAUAUUAAAGUUGUUGUGGUUAAAAAGCUCGUAGUUGAACCUUGGCCCCGGCCGACCGGUCCGCCUCACCGCGAGAACUGGCUCAGCCGGGGCUUUCCCUCUGUGGAACCCCAUACCCUUCACUGGGCGUGGCGGGGAAACAGGACAUUUACUUUGAAAAAAUUAGAGUGCUCCAGGCAGGCCUAUGCUCGAAUACAUUAGCAUGGAAUAAUAAAAUAGGACGCGCGGUUCUAUUUUGUUGGUUUAUAGGACCGCCGUAAUGAUUAAUAGGGACAGUCGGGGGCAUCAGUAUUCAAAUGUCAGAGGUGAAAUUCUUGGAUCAUUUGAAGACUAACUACUGCGAAAGCAUUUGUCAAGGAUGUUUUCAUUAAUCAGGAACGAAAGUUAGGGGAUCGAAGACGAUCAGAUACCGUCGUAGUCUUAACCAUAAACUAUGCCGACUAGGGAUCGGACGGCGUUAUUCAUGACCCGUUCGGCACCUUACGAGAAA